GAUGAACGCUGGCGGCGUGCCUAAUACAUGCAAGUCGAGCGAACGGACGAGAAGCUUGCUUCUCUGAUGUUAGCGGCGGACGGGUGAGUAACACGUGGAUAACCUACCUAUAAGACUGGGAUAACUUCGGGAAACCGGAGCUAAUACCGGAUAAUAUUUUGAACCGCAUGGUUCAAAAGUGAAAGACGGUCUUGCUGUCACUUAUAGAUGGAUCCGCGCUGCAUUAGCUAGUUGGUAAGGUAACGGCUUACCAAGGCAACGAUGCAUAGCCGACCUGAGAGGGUGAUCGGCCACCCUGGAACUGAGACACGGUCCAGACUCCUACGGGAGGCAGCAGUAGGGAAUCGUCCGCAAAGGGCGAAAGCCUGACGGAGCAACGCCGCGUGAGUGAUGAAGGUCUUCGGAUCGUAAAACUCUGUUAUUAGGGAAGAACAUAUGUGUAAGUAACUGUGCACAUCUUGACGGUACCUAAUCAGAAAGCCACGGCUAACUACGUG
rnacentral:rRNA from 1 species